CUGCACCACCUGCAACACCUGUACCACCUGUACCACCUGCAACACCUGCAACACCUGCAACACCUGAGCUCCAGCAGAUCUCAGAUCAAACCUGCAUCCCUGUGAUGACCCAGCAGGCACCGCUCUCAUCACUGAAAGCAUCACAGCUUCAUCAGCUCAGUCCAUCUGCAGACCCUCCAACACUAAUAUGAAGGUUUCAGAGUCUGCUCUUGUUUCACUGUUUCCAGAUUCUGUGAACUUUUCGUUGAGAUCCUGAUUUCAGAGUCUCUGGCGCGGCAGGAAUGCGGUAGAAUGUGGAUCAUUCACCAGAAGAACCCGUUUGGUCAGACUCUGCAGACAUGACACCCCCCCCACCGACCGACCCAGGACUCCUACCAGGAAGGAGACGGUGUCCGUCGCCGCGGCCAGGCAGGACUGGUUCCUGGGAUCCUCCAUCCUGCUCUGCCGGGGGGCGACAGGCUCCGCGGCGGGAUCAGGCGGCCCGCCGGGCCCGCAGGUGCGGGUCGGAGCUCAUGAAAGACCCGCUGCUGAGCCGCAGAGUCCGGACGGGAACACCAGAGCGGAUGUGAAGGGCUCCUGCUGACCGCGGUGAAGGUGGAAAUGGUGACGGACAGGCGGAGGCGUCAGAGGACUCCACGGAAGUCUCCUGAACAUGAUGCUGGAGCCGGGCCGCGUGAUGCUGCUGGCGGACAUGGUUCUGAGCUGGAGGCGGCCCGCGGACUCGCUGCAGCCGGUCCACUGCCGCUGCUCCCGGGCCUUCGUGCUUUUUAGGCUAAUUUGGCAUUCAGCUAAUAUUUUAGCUGGCUAUCCACUUCCAGCAUUUUCAGCUGUCAGCUUCAACAUCUUCAAUUAUCAGCACUAUCGACUUCAGCGGCCAAAUUCAGCUUCCAGUAUUCACACUUGCAUUAGCACAGGUAAUGCUAUAUUUCGAGCUCAUAAUUAUGGUAAAACGUUAC
rnacentral:lncRNA from 1 species